rnacentral:tRNA from 1 species
GAGACAAUUUAUUUAGUCAAAGUGCUUGCCUCACAAGCAUGAAGACCUGGGUUUGAUCCCCAGGACUCA